rnacentral:rRNA from 1 species
CUCGUAGGCGGUUUGAUAAGUCGGGUGUGAAACCUCCAGGCUCAACCUGGAGCCGCCAUUCGAUACUGUCAUGACUAGAAUUCGGUAGGGGACCACGGAAUUCCUGGUGUAGCGGUGAAAUGCGCAGAUAUCAGGAGGAACACCAGCAGCGAAGGCGGUGGUCUGGGCCGACAUUGACGCUGAGGAGCGAAAGCGUGGGGAGCGAACAGGAUUAGAUACCCUGGUAGUCCACGCCGUAAACGUUGGGCACUAGGUGUGGGGACUAUUCAACGGUUUCCGUGCCGCAGCUAACGCAUUAAGUGCCCCGCCUGGGGAGUACGGCCGCAAGGCUAAAA